GGGAAGCUGCCGGGGCCUUGUGGAGAGAGUAAAACACAGCCAGCCCUACUCCUACACCCGCACACCCUACUGUUUUUGACCACACACCUGGGGCAGGGGCCUAGACCUGUCCAGGACUCACUGGGGACUGCCCCACCAUGUCUCCAGAACCUCCCCAAGAGCCAAGGUUGGACCUGCCCCCGAGAGGUGUCACUCACGUGCCAUGCAGGUGUCAAGGGCAAGACCUCGAGGGGAGUGACUUGGUCACCGAGACACGUUACCGGGGACACACACAAGUUAACCGAGGAGAGGUUUAUCUCGGCUCGCACUUGGGAGACGUUUCAGUCCCUAGUCAGCAGCUCAAAGGCAGCGCGGCGUGGCAGAGGGGCCUGGCAGACAGAAAGCAGAGUCCAGGGAGCAGAGGCAGCGAGAUGAAGGCUUCCAGGCCCCGAACCAGGCGAUUUCUCUCAGCCCAGAUCCCACCUCCUGACAACCCAGGUGUACCACGCCCAUGAGGCAAUCACCCCCCCAGAGGCGGCUUGUGAGUGUGUGAGGCUGUGCGGACAGGUAGCUCUAAACUGUCCCCAAGGGAGAGGGAUGGGAGGGCGACCUUGGGGGCAGGAGGAGGGGCGCGCAUCCCUGCAGGUCAGCUUCCCAAGCUGGAGCUCUCUCCUCCUGGGACCAGAGCAGGCGGGGCGUGCAGUGACACCGAGCGGCCACCGGAGGGCAGCAGAGCCCUGCGCUGAGAUCACGCGCUCAGGUUGCCAGGGGAAAGAGAAUAUGUUCGUAUAUUCGUGCUUAUUUCUACCACCUUAUUCUGUCUUCCUCUCUGUCUUGCUUCCUCUAAGUAGGCUUGAAGCUUUUCGUUAUUUCUUCAGAAGUAAUUCACCUCACUGUUUCUUUUCCAGAGAGAGAGAGAGAGAGAGAGAGAGAGAGAGAGAGAGAGAGAGAGAGAGAUCGUUAUUUCUUCAGAAGUAAUUCACCUCACUGUUUCUUUUUCAGAGAGAGAGAUAGAGAGAGAGAGAGAGGAGAGAGAAAGAGAGUGUGUAGGUCUUGCUGAGUGUCUGAGAUCUGAGAUUGGUGGGAAGCACCACCAUGCCUGACUUUUCCUUUUCUCUUGCAGUUAGGAGUGAUGUAUCUGGUUUCUGGUGUUUCCCUAGUGACCGUGGAAAUCACCCCCUGAACUUUUGCCUGUUCAAUUCAGGUCUUUAAAUGUCUUGAUUAACUUUUGUUUGGAAGAGGUUUAGCUUCCAGGAAAACUGAGAGAAUGCCGGGCUGGCACAGCUCAGAGCGAGGGCGGGGACCUAGGCUCCCCAGAGGGCAGAGCAUCUCCAUCAAGCACUGGGGACUCCUCUGCAUGGGAGGACCCUGCCCCUUCCCGGUUAUCUGAUGGUUUGUUCCUGGGGCCACAGUGAUGCCCCGCUUGGAUCUUUGCCCUGAGGUCUCUGCUGGGCACCUGAGCUGAUCUCUGCAGUGGCACAGGCCGGUCUCAAGUGAGCUGUUCGCGUCCCAGGGUGCUCUGCCUUCCUGUGGCCCAUGGCCUUCUGUGUCCUUUGACAGACUGUUCCUUCC
rnacentral:lncRNA from 1 species